rnacentral:rRNA from 1 species
UACGGAGGGUGCAAGCGUUAAUCGGAAUUACUGGGCGUAAAGCGCACGCAGGCGGUCUGUCAAGUCGGAUGUGAAAUCCCCGGGCUCAACCUGGGAACUGCAUCUGAUACUGGCAAGCUUGAGUCUCGUAGAGGGGGGUAGAAUUCCAGGUGUAGCGGUGAAAUGCGUAGAGAUCUGGAGGAAUACCGGUGGCGAAGGCGGCCCCCUGGACGAAGACUGACGCUCAGGUGCGAAAGCGUGGGGAGCAAACAGG